ensembl:lncRNA
UAGUGAAGUUGUCCUCUUUUUUGGUCCACUUUGCCGAGUGAUUGAUUGACACUUCCUCCAGCCAAUAGGCCACUCAAUCUCCUGGCUGUGGUCCUGGCCCAACAGAGGGGAGAUGAGAGUUAUUCUGCCUGCAAUGCCAAGGGUAAUGAGAACAACGCCACCACUGUAUCUGGCUUCCCGGGGUCUGUGCCAGUCUACGGGCCUCUCUCUCCAUCCAUGGCCGAGCUCCCCUCACCCUCAGUCAGCCACGGAUGGAGAUGGUAGUAGGGCUAGGAUAGAGGAUGGAGAUGGUAGUAGGGCUGGGUUAGAGGAUGGAGACGGUAGUAUGGCUGUGUGUGGUAGGGCUGGGAUAUAGGAUGGAGAUGGUGGUAUGGCUGUGUGUGGUAGGGCUGGGUUAGAGGAUGGAGAUGGCAGUAUGGCUGUGUGUGGUAGGGCUGGGAUAGAGGAUGGAGAUGGUAGUAUGGCUGUGUGUGGUAGGGCUGGGAUAGAGGAUGGAGAUGGCAGUAUGGCUGUGUGGUAGGGCUGGGAUAGAGGAUGGAGAUGGUAGUAUGGCUGGGUUAGAGGAUGGAGAUGCUAGUAUGGCUGGGAUAGAGGAUGGAGAUGGUAGUAUGGCUGGGAUAGAGGAUGGAGAUGGUAGUAGGGCUGGGAUAGAGGAUGGAGAUGGUAGUAUGGCUGUGUGUGGUAGGGCUGGGAUAGAGGAUGGAGAUGGCAGUAUGGCUGUGUGGUAGGGCUGGGAUAGAGGAUGGAGAUGGUAGUAUGGCUGGGUUAGAGGAUGGAGAUGGUAGUAUGGCUUGGAUAGAGGAUGGAGAUGGUAGUAUGGCUUGGAUAGAGGAUGGAGAUGGUAGUAUGGCUGUGUGUGAGGAUGGAGAUGGUAGUAUGGCUGGGUUAGAGGAUGGAGAUGGUAGUAUGGCUGGGAUAGAGGAUGGAGAUGGUAGUAUGGCUUGGAUAGAGGAUGGAGAUGGUAGUAUGGCUUGGAUAGAGGAUGGAGAUGGUAGUAUGGCUGUGUGUGGUAGGGCUGGGAUAGAGGAUGGAGAUGGUGGUAUGGCUGUGUGUGGUAGGGCUGGGAUAGAG